rnacentral:piRNA from 1 species
UACAAGCCCUGUGUUUAAAGGUAGGUGCGGUC